GACGAACGCUUGCGGCGUGCCUAAGAAAUGCAAGUCGAGCGGAGAAGUAGCAAUACUUCUUAGCGGCGAACGGUCGCGUAACACGUAAGCAACCUGCCGAAAAGACCGGGACAACAGCCCGAAAGGGCUGCUAAUACCGGAUGUGGCCACUUUCUCGCGUGGGAGAGUGAUUAAACCGAGCAAUCGGUCUUUUCGAGGGGCUUGCGGCCUAUCAGCUAGUUGGUGGGGUAACGGCCUACCAAGGCGACGACGGGUAGCUGGUCUGAGAGGACGGCCAGCCGGACUGGGACUGAGAUACGGCCCAGACUCCGUACGGGGGCAGCAAUUAGGAAUCUUGCGCAAUGGGCGAAAGCCUGACGCAGCGACGCCGCGUGGAGGAGGAAGUCCUCGG
rnacentral:rRNA from 1 species